rnacentral:rRNA from 1 species
UACGUAGGGACCAAGCGUUGUUCGGAUUUACUGGGCGUAAAGGGCGCGUAGGCGGCAAUUUCAAGUCAUCUGUGAAAUCUCCGGGCUUAACUCGGAACGGUCAGAUGAUACUGCUUUGCUAGAGUGCGGAAGGGGCAAUCGGAAUUCUUGGUGUAGCGGUGAAAUGCGUAGAUAUCAAGAGGAACACCUGAGGUGAAGACGGGUUGCUGGGCCGACACUGACGCUGAGGAGCGAAAGCGUGGGGAGCGAACAGG